AUAGUACCCCAUUCCUUGCUGCAAUGUAAUUACAAGUGUGCUCCUGGUGGUCUUUAACUGAAGGGCACUGACUGGGUACUGGUGAAGUUCCCCGCAGGAACUGAGUCAGACCCCAUCUCAGGGCCCUGCAGAAGAUAGGUGCCUGCUCUAAGGCGUGGACCCUCGCGACAGCCCUGGCCCGUCUUGACGGGCGAGGGUUACUGUACUUGUCCCAAUCGUACAGAUGAGAAAGCUCAGACUCAGGGCCAGCAACCCCGGUCCCAGCGGAGCGCCCGGCACGCGCCGACACUUCAGCACCAGUCGCGGUGGCCACCACUGUGCGCGGAGAUGGCUGCGACGCGUGCGCAGAUCUCGAUCCCAAACUCCCUCCUGCCAGAAUCUGGACCCGAAUCCACCCAUUGCCCAUUUUCCGCUGCCGCUGGAGAGAAUCUCUGAGGUCCCCAGGACAGCCUGCCUGCACGGAAGAGAUGCCUCCUCAAUUAAAUGCUGUUUUCCAUGACCGUCUCUGUUCUUCCCAUACGCGAAUGGCAGGCAUCCAGAUCUCCAAGAAUAGAGGAUUAGGAGAGACUCCACCACCUAUGUCCUCACAGUUAAUUAUCGAUUUGUGUCACUUGCCCAUUUUCUCACUUCCUGUUUGUGUGUCAAGGAGUAUUAAUAAAUCUUUGCCUAUUUAAAGAUACUAGCCUUGGAUUUUCAAAUAUUGCAUAUUUUGACAUGUAAAAAUGUGUUAGUUUUAUUUUUUCAACCGAUCUGACCUGUAUAGUUGGGCUUGAGGAAGCUUCCUCAUUGUACAUGUUACUAUGGAUUUUCUAAUAUUAACACAGGGUUGUAUUUUUUCCAUAUAACUUUCUAUUGAAUUUCUUUUUCCAUAUGAUAGGUGGUGAAGGUUUAGCCCAGUAAAGCAGAGAGGUUAAGAGGUUAGACUGGGGGCUCUGGAGCCAGACCUAUGUAGAUCUGAGUCCUGGCUCUGGCACUUGAAAGCCGUGUGACCUUGGUUAAGAUACUUAGCCCCUCUCUGCCAAAUGGAGAAAUAAGGGCACCUACCCCGUAGGGUAGUUGUGUGAGUACACAAGUUAAUACACUUCAAUCACUAGCAAGAAAGUGAAUGUCAAGCUGUAUUUGUUCAGGCAGCCAUAUGGUAGCCCCACCUCAUUAGUAAACUGAGGUAUUGAAGUAUCUUCUUUUUCUUUCAGAAAAUAUUUGUCAAGCACCUUCUGUGUUCUAAGAACUGUUCUAGAGCUUUGCAUGCUAUGGAGGUCUAGAAAUUCACAUUAUGGUGGCAGGUGACAGACAAUACAAAGAGGUAAAGCAAUUUCAUAUAGUGAUAACCUAGGGAGGCGUGCUAAAAGGAGCCAAGGUGUAGUGGUGACUGGAAGGUGACCAGGGAAACCACUGUAGGGUUUCUAACUGAUGAGAUCUGUGACAAAUCCCUGUGGUCAGCAGCAGGCAUUGGAUAUGUAACUUUAUUCUGUCCCAUUGAUCUUGUAGUCAACCCUGGUCUGUUCUGUAUUGUUUUAAUUACAUAAUCUUUGUAAUAAUCUUUAAUACCUGGUGGAGUGCUCUGUUUACUUAUUUCUGCAUAAUUAACCACCCCUAAGCUUAACUUACUCAUGGUUCUGCAGGAUGACUGCUCUCCAUGGUUCUAGGGGUUUCUGCAUGGGGCCUCUCACAUGUGCUACAGUCAAACAUUAGCCGGGGCCACAGUCAUCUGAAACUCACUUACACGGCUGACAAUUGAUGUUGGCUGUUGCCUGGAGAAGACAUAUGUGGCCUGGUGGAAUGGAAUGGUGACUAGAUUCAAGAAAGAGCUUCCCAGGAGCAAGGCUACCAAGAGACCGAAGUAGAGGCUUCAGUUUCUUUAAAAAAAAAAAAAAAAAUCGGGCCAGGUGCGAUGGCUCACGCAUGUAAUCCCAGCACUUUGGGAGGCCAAGGCAGGCAGAUCACAAGGUCAUGAGAUCGAGACCAUCCUGGCCAACAUAGUGAAACCCGUCUCCAAUAAAAAAAAAAAAUACAAAAAUUAGCUGGGCAUGGUGGUGUGUGACGGUAGUCCCAACUACUUGGGAGGCUGAGACAGGAGAAUUUCUAGAACCUGGGAGGCGGGGGUUGCAGUGAGCUGAGAUUGCACCACUGCACUCAAGACUGGCAAUAGAGGGAGACUCCAUCUCAAAAAAAAAAAAAAAUCCAAUAGUAGAAUUCCCAGAAUGGAAUUUAUGUCAUAUUCUAUGGAUUGAGCAAGUUGCAAGGCAGCCACAUUCUAGGGGAAGGGAGCUAUUCCUCACCUCUUGAGAAGCAAUGUGUGUUGAGGAAGGGAAAGAAUUGAUGGUAGCUGUCUUUGACUUCUACCAUACAGAGCAAGGUCUCCACACUCCUUUCUCCUGUAAUAAUUUUCCAUUUGAAAAUUUUCCUUGCAGUUCUCACACCUUUAUUAUUUCAUAUAAAUUUUACAAUCAAUUUUUUUCUUGUCUAGAUAACCAUGCCAUUUGGAUUAAAAUUGCAUUACAUUGCAACUUUUGAGAAACUAUGGGAGGAGAAUUGGCAACCUUAUAAUAUUGAAUUUGCUCAUUAAGGAACAUAGUUUCUCUGUUUAUUUAGGUGUUAUAUUUUUCAUAAUAUACAUGUUGGUAUUUCUACCCAGGCUUUUCUCUUUGUUUUGUCAUGUAAUGCAUGAAUGAGACUGCACUGUCUGUGUGAUUGGGCAGUUGCCCAAAGUUUAAGGUGUUAACAUGCAUUAAUUCACUUAAUCACUUCUCAUUUCCUCCUUCCCUCAACCCCUGACAACCAUGAAUCUGCUUUCUGUCUCUAGAUUUGCCUAUUCUGGACAUUUUAUAUAAAUGUGUCAUCCAAUAUCUGGUCUUUUCUGACUGGCUUCUUUCACUUAGCAGGAUUCUACGGUUUAUUGAGGUUCAUUCAUUGUGUAGGCUGUAUCAGUACUUCAUUCCUGUUUACGGCUGAAUAAUGUUCCACUGUAUGUACAUAUGUAUGUAUACCACACUUUGUAUAUCCAUUUAUUUACUGGAGGAUAUCUGGGUUAUUUACAGUAUAUUUCAGGAGUCCCCAAGAUCAUCCUCCCCCUUGGUAUACUGCUCUUUGUAUCUUAUAUGACCUGUGCAGAACUAUUUAUCUGGAAAUUAGGUGAUGGUUAACUAAAUAUAGUUCUUCUAAAGAUUCAUUUUCCGUUGGUAUUACAUCCUGAGGAGACCUUAACUCAAUCUCCCAAUACAUUUGAUCAUCAAUAUCACUAUUACCACAUGACUUAUUUACAUGAGGUACUCAAAUCUAACCAGCCAUGCCAGUGUUACCCAUAUUGCAUGUUGUGGUAGUAGAUGCAGCCCCCUGAAAUAAAAGUCAAAAGAUGCUGGCACAUUCCUGAGGUUCUUCUCAGCCACUAACAAUUGGUGUAGUUCAUCAUCACCUGGAAUGACCAAAAUGUCUCCC
rnacentral:lncRNA from 1 species